UUUGGUUAAGUUAGAAAGGGCGCACGGUGGAUGCCUUGACACUAGGAGUCGAUGAAGGACGGGACUAACGCCGAUAUGCUUCGGGGAGCUGUAAGUAAGCUUUGAUCCGAAGAUUUCCGAAUGGGGAAACCCACCAUACGUAAUGGUAUGGUAUCCUUAUCUGAAUACAUAGGGUAAGGAAGACAGACCCAGGGAACUGAAACAUCUAAGUACCUGGAGGAAGAGAAAGCAAAUGCGAUUUCCUGAGUAGCGGCGAGCGAAACGGAACAUAGCCCAAACCAAGAGGCUUGCCUCUUGGGGUUGUAGGACAUUCUAUACGGAGUUACAAAGGAACGAGGUAGACGAAGCGACCUGGAAAGGUCCGUCGUAGAGGGUAACAACCCCGUAGUCGAAACUUCGUUCUCUCUUGAAUGUAUCCUGAGUACGGCGGAACACGUGAAAUUCCGUCGGAAUCUGGGAGGACCAUCUCCCAAGGCUAAAUACUCCCUAGUGAUCGAUAGUGAACCAGUACCGUGAGGGAAAGGUGAAAAGCACCCCGGAAGGGGAGUGAAAGAGAUCCUGAAACCGUGUGCCUACAAAUAGUCAGAGCCCGUUAAUGGGUGAUGGCGUGCCUUUUGUAGAAUGAACCGGCGAGUUACGAUCCCGUGCGAGGUUAAGCUGAAGAGGCGGAGCCGCAGCGAAAGCGAGUCUGAAUAGGGCGUUUAGUACGUGGUCGUAGACCCGAAACCAGGUGAUCUACCCAUGUCCAGGGUGAAGUUCAGGUAACACUGAAUGGAGGCCCGAACCCACGCACGUUGAAAAGUGCGGGGAUGAGGUGUGGGUAGCGGAGAAAUUCCAAUCGAACCUGGAGAUAGCUGGUUCUCCCCGAAAUAGCUUUAGGGCUAGCCUUAAGUGUAAGAGUCUUGGAGGUAGAGCACUGAUUGGACUAGGGGUCCUCAUCGGAUUACCGAAUUCAGUCAAACUCCGAAUGCCAAUGACUUAUCCUUAGGAGUCAGACUGCGAGUGAUAAGAUCCGUAGUCAAAAGGGAAACAGCCCAGACCGCCAGCUAAGGUCCCAAAGUGUGUAUUAAGUGGAAAAGGAUGUGGAGUUGCUUAGACAACUAGGAUGUUGGCUUAGAAGCAGCCACCAUUUAAAGAGUGCGUAAUAGCUCACUAGUCGAGUGACUCUGCGCCGAAAAUGUACCGGGGCUAAAUACACCACCGAAGCUGCGGAUUGAUACCGAAUGGUAUCAGUGGUAGGGGAGCGUUCUAAGGACAGUGAAGUCAGACCGUAAGGACUGGUGGAGUGCUUAGAAGUGAGAAUGCCGGUAUGAGUAGCGAAAGACGGGUGAGAAUCCCGUCCACCGAAUGCCUAAGGUUUCCUGAGGAAGGCUCGUCCGCUCAGGGUUAGUCAGGACCUAAGCCGAGGCCGACAGGCGUAGGCGAUGGACAACAGGUUGAUAUUCCUGUACCACCUCUUUAUCGUUUGAGCAAUGGAGGGACGCAGAAGGAUAGAAGAAGCGUGCGAUUGGUUGUGCACGUCCAAGCAGUUAGGCUGAUAAGUAGGCAAAUCCGCUUAUCGUAAAGGCUGAGCUGUGAUGGGGAAGCUCCUUAUGGAGCGAAGUCUUUGAUUCCCCGCUGCCAAGAAAAGCUUCUAGCGAGAUAAAAGGUGCCUGUACCGCAAACCGACACAGGUAGGCGAGGAGAGAAUCCUAAGGUGUGCGAGAGAACUCUGGUUAAGGAACUCGGCAAAAUGACCCCGUAACUUCGGGAGAAGGGGUGCUUUCUUAACGGAAAGCCGCAGUGAAUAGGCCCAAGCGACUGUUUAGCAAAAACACAGCUCUCUGCGAAGCCGUAAGGCGAAGUAUAGGGGGUGACACCUGCCCGGUGCUGGAAGGUUAAGGAGAGGGGUUAGCGUAAGCGAAGCUCUGAACUGAAGCCCCAGUAAACGGCGGCCGUAACUAUAACGGUCCUAAGGUAGCGAAAUUCCUUGUCGGGUAAGUUCCGACCCGCACGAAAGGUGUAACGAUUUGGGCACUGUCUCAACCAGAGACUCGGUGAAAUUAUAGUACCUGUGAAGAUGCAGGUUACCCGCGACAGGACGGAAAGACCCCGUGGAGCUUUACUGUAGCCUGAUAUUGAAUUUUGGUACAUUUUGUACAGGAUAGGCGGGAGCCUUUGAAACCGGAGCGCUAGCUUCGGUGGAGGCGCUGGUGGGAUACCGCCCUGAAUGUAUUGAAAUUCUAACCUACGGGUCUUAUCGACCCGGGAGACAGUGUCAGGUGGGCAGUUUGACUGGGGCGGUCGCCUCCUAAAGUGUAACGGAGGCGCCCAAAGGUUCCCUCAGAAUGGUUGGAAAUCAUUCGUAGAGUGCAAAGGCAUAAGGGAGCUUGACUGCGAGACCUACAAGUCGAGCAGGGACGAAAGUCGGGCUUAGUGAUCCGGUGGUUCCGCAUGGAAGGGCCAUCGCUCAACGGAUAAAAGCUACCCCGGGGAUAACAGGCUUAUCUCCCCCAAGAGUCCACAUCGACGGGGAGGUUUGGCACCUCGAUGUCGGCUCAUCGCAUCCUGGGGCUGUAGUCGGUCCCAAGGGUUGGGCUGUUCGCCCAUUAAAGCGGUACGCGAGCUGGGUUCAGAACGUCGUGAGACAGUUCGGUCCCUAUCCGUCGUGGGCGUAGGAAAUUUGAGAGGAGCUGUCCUUAGUACGAGAGGACCGGGAUGGACGCACCGCUGGUGUACCAGUUGUUCUGCCAAGGGCAUAGCUGGGUAGCUAUGUGCGGAAGGGAUAAGUGCUGAAAGCAUCUAAGCAUGAAGCCCCCCUCAAGAUGAGAUUUCCCAUAGCGUAAGCUAGUAAGAUCCCUGAAAGAUGAUCAGGUUGAUAGGUUCGAGGUGGAAGCAUGGUGACAUGUGGAGCUGACGAAUACUAAUAGAUCGAGGACUUAACCAUAUAA
rnacentral:rRNA from 2 species